AGAGUUUGAUCAUGGCUCAGAUUGAACGCUGGCGGCAGGCCUAACACAUGCAAGUCGAACGGUAACAGGAAGCAGCUUGCUGCUUCGCUGACGAGUGGCGGACGGGUGAGUAAUGUCUGGGAAACUGCCUGAUGGAGGGGGAUAACUACUGGAAACGGUGGCUAAUACCGCAUAACGUCGCAAGACCAAAGAGGGGGGCCUUCGGGCCUCUUGCCAUCAGAUGUGCCCAGAUGGGAUUAGCUAGUUGGUGAGGUAACGGCUCACCAAGGCGACGAUCCCUAGCUGGUCUGAGAGGAUGACCAGCCACACUGGAACUGAGACACGGUCCAGACUCCUACGGGAGGCAGCAGUGGGGAAUAUUGCACAAUGGGCGCAAGCCUGAUGCAGCCAUGCCGCGUGUAUGAAGAAGGCCUUCGGGUUGUAAAGUACUUUCAGCGGGGAGGAAGGUGUUGUGGUUAAUAACCGCAGCAAUUGACGUUACCCGCAGAAGAAGCACCGGCUAACUCCGUGCCAGCAGCCGCGGUAAUACGGAGGGUGCAAGCGUUAAUCGGAAUUACUGGGCGUAAAGCGCACGCAGGCGGUCUGUCAAGUCGGAUGUGAAAUCCCCGGGCUCAACCUGGGAACUGCAUUCGAAACUGGCAGGCUUGAGUCUUGUAGAGGGGGGUAGAAUUCCAGGUGUAGCGGUGAAAUGCGUAGAGAUCUGGAGGAAUACCGGUGGCGAAGGCGGCCCCCUGGACAAAGACUGACGCUCAGGUGCGAAAGCGUGGGGAGCAAACAGGAUUAGAUACCCUGGUAGUCCACGCCGUAAACGAUGUCUACUUGGAGGUUGUGCCCUUGAGGCGUGGCUUCCGGAGCUAACGCGUUAAGUAGACCGCCUGGGGAGUACGGCCGCAAGGUUAAAACUCAAAUGAAUUGACGGGGGCCCGCACAAGCGGUGGAGCAUGUGGUUUAAUUCGAUGCAACGCGAAGAACCUUACCUGGUCUUGACAUCCACAGAACUUUCCAGAGAUGGAUUGGUGCCUUCGGGAACUGUGAGACAGGUGCUGCAUGGCUGUCGUCAGCUCGUGUUGUGAAAUGUUGGGUUAAGUCCCGCAACGAGCGCAACCCUUAUCCUUUGUUGCCAGCGGUUAGGCCGGGAACUCAAAGGAGACUGCCAGUGAUAAACUGGAGGAAGGUGGGGAUGACGUCAAGUCAUCAUGGCCCUUACGACCAGGGCUACACACGUGCUACAAUGGCGCAUACAAAGAGAAGCGACCUCGCGAGAGCAAGCGGACCUCAUAAAGUGCGUCGUAGUCCGGAUUGGAGUCUGCAACUCGACUCCAUGAAGUCGGAAUCGCUAGUAAUCGUGGAUCAGAAUGCCACGGUGAAUACGUUCCCGGGCCUUGUACACACCGCCCGUCACACCAUGGGAGUGGGUUGCAAAAGAAGUAGGUAGCUUAACCUUCGGGAGGGCGCUUACCACUUUGUGAUUCAUGACUGGGGUGAAGUCGUAACAAGGUAACCGUAGGGGAACCUGCGGUUGGAUCACCU
rnacentral:rRNA from 1 species